GGGACACGUGGUAUCCUGUCUGAAUAUGGGGGGACCAUCCUCCAAGGCUAAAUACUCCUGACUGACCGAUAGUGAACCAGUACCGUGAGGGAAAGGCGAAAAGAACCCCGGCGAGGGGAGUGAAAAAGAACCUGAAACCGUGUACGUACAAGCAGUGGGAGCACGCUUAGGCGUGUGACUGCGUACCUUUUGUAUAAUGGGUCAGCGACUUAUAUUCUGUAGCAAGGUUAACCGAAUAGGGGAGCCGAAGGGAAACCGAGUCUUAACUGGGCGUUAAGUUGCAGGGUAUAGACCCGAAACCCGGUGAUCUAGCCAUGGGCAGGUUGAAGGUUGGGUAACACUAACUGGAGGACCGAACCGACUAAUGUUGAAAAAUUAGCGGAUGACUUGUGGCUGGGGGUGAAAGGCCAAUCAAACCGGGAGAUAGCUGGUUCUCCCCGAAAGCUAUUUAGGUAGCGCCUCGUGAAUUCAUCUCCGGGGGUAGAGCACUGUUUCGGCAAGGGGGUCAUCCCGACUUACCAACCCGAUGCAAACUGCGAAUACCGGAGAAUGUUAUCACGGGAGACACACGGCGGGUGCUAACGUCCGUCGUGAAGAGGGAAACAACCCAGACCGCCAGCUAAGGUCCCAAAGUCAUGGUUAAGUGGGAAACGAUGUGGGAAGGCCCAGACAGCCAGGAUGUUGGCUUAGAAGCAGCCAUCAUUUAAAGAAAGCGUAAUAGCUCACUGGUCGAGUCGGCCUGCGCGGAAGAUGUAACGGGGCUAAACCAUGCACCGAAGCUGCGGCAGCGACGCUUAUGCGUUGUUGGGUAGGGGAGCGUUCUGUAAGCCUGUGAAGGUGUGCUGUGAGGCAUGCUGGAGGUAUCAGAAGUGCGAAUGCUGACAUAAGUAACGAUAAAGCGGGUGAAAAGCCCGCUCGCCGGAAGACCAAGGGUUCCUGUCCAACGUUAAUCGGGGCAGGGUGAGUCGACCCCUAAGGCGAGGCCGAAAGGCGUAGUCGAUGGGAAACAGGUUAAUAUUCCUGUACUUGGUGUUACUGCGAAGGGGGGACGGAGAAGGCUAUGUUGGCCGGGCGACGGUUGUCCCGGUUUAAGCGUGUAGGCUGGUUUUCCAGGCAAAUCCGGAAAAUCAAGGCUGAGGCGUGAUGACGAGGCACUACGGU
rnacentral:rRNA from 1 species